rnacentral:rRNA from 1 species
GACGAACGCUGGCGGCGUGCCUAAUACAUGCAAGUCGAGCGGGCUUAUUCGAGUAGCUUGCUAUUUGGAUAAGUCAGCGGCGGACGGGUGAGUAACACGUGGGUAAUCUGCCUCGUAGUCUGGGAUAACAAGCCGAAAGGUUUGCUAAUACCGGAUGAGUUCAUGUUAUUGCAUAGUGACAUGAAGAAAGGGGAGACCCGCUAUGAGAUGAGCCCGCGUCCCAUUAGCUAGUUGGUGGGGUAAAGGCCUACCAAGGCAACGAUGGGUAGCCGGCCUGAGAGGGUGUACGGCCACACUGGGACUGAGACACGGCCCAGACUCCUACGGGGGGCAGCAGUAGGGAAUUUUCGGCAAUGGGCGAAAGCCUGACCGAGCGACGCCGCGUGAGGGACGAAGGCCUUCGGGUUGUAAACCUCUGUCUGGGGGAUGAGAACGGACGGUACCCCGGAGGAAGCCCCGGCUAACUACGUG